CCUGUGGGGAGAAAUAUUUGAAAACUACUGAAGUGACCUUGAAAGAGCUACAGACUUGAAAGAUUCAAAGGAGUUCUUUGAAACAACAGAAAACUUCAACAGGAGAGAUACCUGAAUCUUAAUAGUACUUAAAUACAAGGGAUAUGACUUCUGUUGUACCUACAGUGUAACGGCAUGAUCUACAGAAUCUGUCACUUCUAUUGACCUCAGUGGGAUCUGCACCAUGACGUUGGGAGAAACUAAACACGCCUUUCACGACUGUCUGAAUAAAGACGACCUCAUCUAC